UGCCGGGAAGGAUGUGGAACAGCCAGCGACGAAGUAUGCUUUGGAAGACUACGACUUUUUCGGGGUAUCCAGUAUACCAGAUCACCUGUUCGAGAGGAGGAACGACACUGCAAAGUUUGUGGAACGGGGCAUCGACAACUGGUGCAAAAUAGAUGACUCGGACGAAAUGGCGAAUUUCAAGUGCACUGUGUGGCCUCACAUGAAGAAAUGUACAGUUUCCUGCGUAGAAGGAUUCACUACCAGCGACGGAGAAAACGUGCAGAAGAUAUCUUGCCGCGCCAAAGACGACGUAUGGGUACCGGAAUACAGAAAAUGCAACAAGAAAAGCGGCAGUUUGAAGACAGUGUUAUCUGAAAAUAGUGACUUAGGUCUGAACAGUGCUG